rnacentral:lncRNA from 1 species
UACAAAUUCUUCAAUCAAAUCAAGGACGUCCUCUGCAUCAUACAAGUCUGAUGACUCUAAACAAUCAAGAAGGGUCAACUAGUAAUAUUGAAGUACUCAUAAAGAAAGUGGUAGUUGUAGUAUAGUCUCAGUAUUUCAAUGUUACUAAAUCAUAAGCUCUAGCAGCCUUUUCUUCAUUUUCAUAUCUUCCUACAUGAUUUUACACAAAAGAAUUGAAAGUUACGUCGAAUUUAAUAAAAGAAGAAUACUAUUAUCAUUUUCA